AUGGCUCCGGACGGUCGAUGGCAGCUCUAUCGGCGUCGGUCGAAGGGGGGACGACGGGACGGGUGCCGGCUUCCAGCGACCUGGAAGGCAGCGGCUAGGCUCCCCUGCUGGCUGGCUCAUGGCCAACCGAAAAAGAAAUAUGGUGGAGGAAGAAGGAGAAAGGAGGCGCUCGGGAGGCUCGGUGGUGGCCUCGAUCCGAUCCGAUCUGGAAUGAGAGCCUACGGGGAAGGUCUUGAAGCAGUGGCGACCGUUGAGGGGGGACUGGGAGUGCUGCGCACGGUGGUAGUUCCCCGCUGGACAGGGAAAAGGGGAGAGAAGGAAGAGAGAAUCAAGAGUGUGGGGAGAAAAGGCAUGGGGGGAGAGACGAGGAUGAGGGCGGUUAAGAAGAAAGAUAAUAUCGGAGGACAAACAACGAUGCGUGUGGGGGUCAGACGACACUCGUCGUCCGUGCGAGAGGGCUCAUGGAAUCGUUGUCUACAGCCAGAUGCAAAUGCGAUGGGCACACGAGCGGGCUGGACACGGGAGAGCACUCACCGAAUAGGAUUUUUUUACAUCAAUCACCGAUCAAAUAAAAUUAUUCUCCAAUCGAUAGACACGCUUCUUUACCCAUCAAAUUGCUUCAUUGUACAGGAGCAGUAG
rnacentral:rRNA from 1 species